rnacentral:misc_RNA from 1 species
AAGUCGUAACAAGGUUUCCGUAGGUGAACCUGCGGAAGGAUCAUUAACACGUAUCCAACGUUAAACCCCCUGUGAACCUUCAUUGUGCUCCCACGCUUUGUUAGAAAGUAGCAAUCCCUGGUAAAUCAUCGCCGAACAGUUUUGAUUCUGGGACUUCCUCAAAGAGUGUGCAUGUUGCGCGAGGCAAGUGGCCUGGCAUUCCCAAGCAGUUAAUGUCUGAAAGUGUCAUUAGCUGUGUAAGGAUGACGCAGUAACGAUCGUUGGAGGCCGACACGGCCGACGACCGGGUCACCGGGCGCAAGCCCCUUUAUCACCACUUAAUGCAUGACAGACGCGCCAGCGCUUAAUUGUGCGGCGACCAAAAACCGAACAACUGUUAACAAUGGAUAUCUUGGUUCUC